rnacentral:tRNA from 1 species
AGAGUAUAGCUCAGUGGUAGAGCACAUGCUUAGCAUGCACAAGGUCCUGAGUUCAAGCCCCAGUACCUCCA